rnacentral:rRNA from 1 species
AUUGAACGCUGGCGGCAUGCUUUACACAUGCAAGUCGAACGGCAGCACGAAAGAGCUUGCUCUUUUGGUGGCGAGUGGCGAACGGGUGAGUAAUGCAUCGGAACGUACCGAGUAAUGGGGGAUAACUGUCCGAAAGGAUAGCUAAUACCGCAUACGCUUUGAGAAGGAAAGUGGGGGCUCUUCGGACCUCACGUUAUUCGAGCGGCCGCUGUCUGAUUAGCUAGUUGGUGGGGUAAAGGCCUACCAAGGCGACGAUCAGUAGCGGGUCUGAGAGGAUGAUCCGCCACACUGGGACUGAGACACGGCCCAGACUCCUACGGGAGGCAGCAGUGGGGAAUUUUGGACAAUGGGCGCAAGCCUGAUCCAGCCAUGCCGCGUGUCUGAAGAAGGCCUUCGGGUUGUAAAGGACUUUUGUUAGGGAAGAAAAGGAUAGUGUUAAUACCAUUAUCUGCUGACGGUACCUAAAGAAUAAGCACCGGCUAACUACGUG